UAAAGCUCAUCUAGUGAUCUUGGGUAAGUCGAGGCGCGGUGAUUCUUCUCCAUCUGUACUUGAGAUCUUCUCAUUCGAUGCCAAGACUUUCUCCGUUUCAUCUUCUCCAAAGGCCACAUAUGUGCCUGAAGAUGGCGAUCCUGUGAGCAUUGCAGUGCAUCCCAGUGGAGACGACAUCGUUUGCUCCACCACCACCGCUGGUUGCAAGGUAUUUGAGUUGUGUGUUUGGGAAGAAAGUACAAAGCUG